rnacentral:lncRNA from 10 species
CCAAGCCUAAGGACUGAGGCCAUGGAGAAAGUCUAGCAGCAUAAAACACCCAUCUUUACUGCCUGGCGAGGAAGGGUCAGGGUGAGUGAGUGUGUGUGUGUGUGUGUGUGUGUGUGUGUACAUAUAUACGAAUAGGGAGCUAUGAAUUCAUCAUCCUCUCAUCAUAUCUUGUUGCGGACUUUGUAUCUGCAAACAAAAUCCACAGAUGCAGUGGAGUUUCUAGGCCUUGGGAUCAAUGCACAUCUUGAUUACUUUUUAACCAUGAAGUCAACUGGAAAAAGAAAAUAACAGAGAAACAGAUUUAAUGGCCACCAGUCAGGGGUGGGAAGAAGAAAAAUGAAUUGGAAUUGAGUGCAAACAGAAGAAUAAAUUAUCUGUUUCAAGACUGGGUGGUGGUGUGGCAAGGAUGCAGUACAUAUUCCGUUAUAAGAGCCAGAGGUAUUUGUUUCGCUUACAAAUCACAUCUAUAGACAGGCAGUUUCCUAUGUUGGUGCCGGGGUUCCUGAAGGGGAUCGGAGCUCAGCUACUGAUGAGAUACUAUCAAGAAUCCACAGACAACUUGAGUUGCUCCUAAUCAGAUGAUGGUAGCAGGACAGAUAUAUAAAGGAGCACAGAAAAUAACUUGGCCAUCCCUCAAAUAGAAGAUAAGCACUGAUAUACAAAUGUUGUCAUUUUAUCCACCGCGAUCAAGUCAGCUUCAUCCCCGGGAUGCAAGGCUAGUUCAACAUAUGCAAAUCAAUAAACGUAAUCCAUCACCAAAACAGAACCAACCACAAAAACCACAUGAUUAUCUCAAUAGAUGCAGAAAAGGCCUUCAACAAAAUUCAGCAGCCCUUCAUGCUAAAAACUCUCAAUAAACUAGGUAUUGAUGGACCGUAUCUCAAAAUAAUAAGAGCUAUUUAUGACAAACCCACAGCCAAUAACAUACUGAAUGGGCAAAAACUGGCAGCACUCCCUUCGAAAACCAGCACCACACAAGGAUGUCCACUCUCACCACUCCUAUUCAGCAUAGCAUUGGAAGUUCUGGCCAGGGCAAUCAGGUAAGAGAAAGAAAUAAAUUGUAUUCAAUUAGGAAAAGAGGAAGUCAAAUUGCCUCUGUUUGCAGAUGACAUGACUGUAUAUUUAGAAAAUCCCAUCGUCUCAGCCCAAAAUCUCCUUAAGCUGAUAAGCAACUUCAGCAAAGUCUCAGGACAUAAAACCAAUGUGCAAAAAUCCUAUACACCAGUAAUAGACAAACAGAGAGCCAAAUCAUGAGUGAACUCCCAUUCACAACUGCUACAAAGAGAAUAAAAUACCUAGGAAUACAACUUACAAGGGAUGUAAAGGAACUCUUCAAGGAGAACUACAAACCACUGCUCAAGGAAGUAAGAGAGGACACAAACAAAUGGAAAAACAUUCCAUGCUCAUGGAUAGAAAAAUCAAUAUCGUGAAAAUGGCCAUACUGCCCAAAGCAAUUUAUAGAUUCAAUGUUAUCCCCAUCAAGCUGCCACUGACUUUUUUCAUAGAAUUGGAAAAAGCUUCUUUAAAUUUCAUAGGGAACCAAAAAAGAGCCUGCAUAGCCAAGACAAUCCUAAGCCAAAAGAACAAAGCUGGAGGCAUCACGCUACCUGACUUCAAACUAUACUACAAGGCUAC